rnacentral:rRNA from 1 species
UACGUAGGGGGGCUAGCGUUGUCCGGAAUCAUUGGGCGUAAAGCGCGUGUAGGCGGCCCGGUAAGUCCGCUGUGAAAGUCGGGGGGCUCAACCCUCGGAUGCCGGUGGAUACUGUCGGGCUUGAGUACGGAAGAGGCGAGUGGAAUCCUGGUGUAGCGGUGAAAUGCGCAGAUAUCAGGAGGAACACCGAUUGCGAAGGCAGCUCGCUGGGACGUUACUGACGCUGAGACGCGAAAGCGUGGGGAGCAAACAGG